UACGAAGGGGGCAAGCGUUGUUCGGAAUCACUGGGCGUAAAGCGCACGUAGGCGGAUCGUUUAGUCAGGGGUGAAAUCCCGGAGCUCAACUUCGGAACUGCCUUUGAUACUGGCGAUCUCGAGUCCGAUAGAGGUGGGUGGAAUUCCUAGUGUAGAGGUGAAAUUCGUAGAUAUUAGGAAGAACACCGGUGGCGAAGGCGGCCCACUGGAUCGGUACUGACGCUGAGGUGCGAAAGCGUGGGGAGCAAACAGG
rnacentral:rRNA from 1 species